GAACAAAUGAGGAGUCCUAUAAUAGGACGAAACGGCCUUCCAGUGC
rnacentral:hammerhead_ribozyme from 1 species